rnacentral:lncRNA from 1 species
UCAAGUUGCCCCUGCGGUACCUUCUCUAUCAUAUCAUUGCACUGCUGUAGAUUUGAAUGGACAUUGAUAACGGAAUGAAGUGCUACAUCGAAAGGUGAGAAAGUUCUAACAUGUUUCGGUGUAUUGAAAUGUAAUGUAAGAAACAUUACCAACUUACUCUCGACUGCUUGGACAUAUUAUUUUGACCAAAAUUGAGUUUUACAGGUCUCAUGGCACUACAUUGUUUCAGUUUCCACUUCUCUUUUCUUCCUAGUAAUCCAGGAACCUUUUCUGGGACAUUAUUGACAUCCAGAAGAGGAAGGCAGCCAGAAAACCCAAUAGCUCGAGGCAACAUUCCAAUCGGACGUGGGUUCCCUCAUUUGGGCAGAACCCAUUUGUUUGUAUUUCCGACAUCAGCAUCUGUCUUCUUCAAUUCUUUGCUCUUCAUUUUGCGACAUUAAUCAGUUCUAGCUUCUUUGCCGCUUGACUGAUGAUUCAUCUUGCUUUAAAUGUAGAUAAUUUGUAUUUAUAAGAACACUAGAAGAACAUCUUCUGCAGUAUCCGAAUGUGAUAAAACUAAAAAGCAGUCCUCUGUCAGCUGUGCAAGAUGGAGGAGAGAAUCCAUGAGCCUGUUAUUAGCAAAAGCUGAUACAAUAAGCCAUUUACAUG